rnacentral:rRNA from 1 species
UGGGGAAUAUUGCACAAUGGAGGGAACUCUGAUGCAGCGACGCCGCGUGAACGAAGAAGGCUUUCGAGUCGUAAAGUUCUUUUAUAUGGGAAGAUAAUGACGGUACCAUAAGAAAAAGCCCCGGCUAACUACGUGCCAGCAGCCGCGGUAAUACGUAGGGGGCUAGCGUUGUCCGGAAUCACUGGGCGUAAAGGGUUCGCAGGCGGAAAUGCAAGUCAGGUGUAAAAGGCAGUAGCUUAACUACUGUAAGCAUUUGAAACUGCAUAUCUUGAGAAGAGUAGAGGUAAGUGGAAUUGUUAGUGUAGCGGUGAAAUGCGUAGAUAUUAAAAAGAAUACCGGUGGCGAAGGCGACAUACUGGGCUCAUUCUGACGCUGAGGAACGAAAGCGUGGGUAGCAAACAGG